GAUAGUGCCAGGAAAGCCAUAGCUCAGCUACAGCUGAAACUGGUAACAGACUGCAGUGGUGCGGGAUCCCCCCUCCCCAGGCCACUCUGUGAUCUCAAGGUAAACUAAUGUUACGUUCUUGGCAUUGUUACAAGUGCAGUGAGUCGGGAUAGUUAGGCACUCCCUAACUGUACCUGGAACUCCUGCUACCUGGAUACCAGAACCAUACAAUCUGGAAGGUACUAGAUAGUACGGUUGGUUGGCAACACAAGAAUUACCCAACCUGAAUUGUGGCCAGGAUGGAAAAACACUGACUAUAGCCAACCAUCUCACAGUCCUAUAAAUACCGGUCCUAAGCAAAGAGCCCUUUUGAGCUCUCCAGAACCAGAGCGGGCUAUGACCUAGGAUCUCCCCCUGAGGUGGGACACCUCUCAGGGCAAGACUCCUUGAGGUUCAGUGAUCGUCCGCUGAAUACACCAACGCGGAGGAGGCAAGGAGUAGCAGUACACAGCAAUUUCAACACUAUUUAAACCUCAGUGAAACUUUGAGGAGCUAGCUAAAAUGGAAUUAAAAUACCUGCUACAAACCUCACCUCCUUAACAGAUUUGGCAUUCUGAGCCAGAUGCACUCCUAAGGAAGGUAGAGUGGAUACUGACUUGAAGUCCCCUUCCCUGAGACCUAGCGUCCUCUUUCCAAGGAGAAAAGACAGCAGUUGCUGUGGAAGACAUGAUCAAGACACUUAAAACCAGCAGUGUUGGCAGGCUUCACUUGUUCAGCAGCUAGCAUAAUCGAGGUACACACGACUAAACUGUGAAGAAGUUUAAAGAUGACAAGAAGUUCCCUUGUAUGUUUUGGAAAGGGAAUGGUCAGCAGCAAGACCUGAAGAGGAAGAAGACCUAGUCAUACGAGCAAGCCAGAAAUUACUUCAGCCCAAACGUAUUGAAUGGUUUUAGAUUUGCGUUUUAUGCACUGAAGACAAGACAAAAAUACACAUUUUUUGACAGGCAGAUUGCUGGGGAGUUGGGCAGAAGUCAAGAACUGAAAAUGGAUAGUCAGCAACCCUCUCUACCGGCUGGCAGUGACUCUGGAAUUCCAUUUCCUCAGUGUAACAGGGUAAUGCUUUCCUACCUCAACAAACACUGGGACAUGCAAUGGUUAAGCAGCCUCAAAGUUAAGCUGAAGGAUUUUGUUCAGAGUGUUUAUCCAUUCUUCCAUCUCAAUUUCACUGUCUGCAGCUAAAAG